GACGAACGCUGGCGGCGUGCUUAACACAUGCAAGUCGAACGGAAAGGCCCUGCUUUUGUGGGGUGCUCGAGUGGCGAACGGGUGAGUAACACGUGAGUAACCUGCCCUUGAAUUUGGGAUAACUUCAGGAAACUGGGGCUAAUACCGGAUAGGAGCUCCUGCUGCAUGGUGGGGGUUGGAAAGUUUCGGCGGUUGGGGAUGGACUCGCGGCUUAUCAGCUUGUUGGUGGGGUAGUGGCUUACCAAGGCUUUGACGGGUAGCCGGCCUGAGAGGGUGACCGGCCACAAUGGGACUGAGAGACGGCCCAGACGCCUACGGGAGGCAGCAGUGGGGAAUAUGGCACAAUGGGCGGAAGCCUGAUGCAGCAACGCCGCGUGCGGGAUGACGGCCUUCGGGUUGUAAACCGCUUUCGACUGUGACGAAGCGUGAGUGACGGUAAUGGGUAAAGAAGCACCGGCUAACUACGUG
rnacentral:rRNA from 1 species